UGGGGAAUAUUGCACAAUGGGCGCAAGCCUGAUGCAGCCAUGCCGCGUGUGUGAAGAAGGCCUUCGGGUUGUAAAGCACUUUCAGCGAGGAGGAAGGUGGUGAGCUUAAUACGCUCAUCAAUUGACGUUACUCGCAGAAGAAGCACCGGCUAACUCCGUGCCAGCAGCCGCGGUAAUACGGAGGGUGCAAGCGUUAAUCGGAAUUACUGGGCGUAAAGCGCACGCAGGCGGUUUGUUAAGUCAGGUGUGAAAUCCCCGGGCUCAACCUGGGAACUGCAUUUGAAACUGGCAAGCUAGAGUCUCGUAGAGGGGGGUAGAAUUCCAGGUGUAGCGGUGAAAUGCGUAGAGAUCUGGAGGAAUACCGGUGGCGAAGGCGGCCCCCUGGACGAAGACUGACGCUCAGGUGCGAAAGCGUGGGGCAGCAAACAGGAUUAGAUACCCCUGGUAGUCCACGCUGUAAAACGAUGUCGAUUUUGGAGGUUGUGCCCCUUGAGGCGUGGNUUCCGGAGCUAACGCGUUAAAUCGACCGCC
rnacentral:rRNA from 1 species